rnacentral:rRNA from 1 species
UACGUAGGGGGCGAGCGUUGUCCGGAUUUAUUGGGCGUAAAGCGCUCGCAGGUGGUUCGUCGCGUCGUGCGUGAAAGACCCCGGCUCAACUGGGGAGGGUCGUGCGAUACGGGCGAACUGGAGGCCAGUAGGGGGAUGCGGAAUUCCGGGUGUAGUGGUGGAAUGCGUAGAGAUCCGGAGGAACACCAGCGGCGAAGGCGGCAUCCUGGACUGGUCCUGACACUCAGGAGCGAAAGCGUGGGGAGCGAUCCGG